GAUGAACGCUGGCGGCGCGCCUAACACAUGCGAGUCGAACGAUUAAAGCACCUUCGGGUGUGUAUAAAGUGGCGAACGGCUGAGUAACACGUGUGCAACCUGCCCCUUUCAUUGGGAUAGCCACGGGAAACCGUGGAUAAUACCGAAUACUUCGAGACUUCCGCAUGGAAGACGCGAGAAAGCUCCGGCGGAGAGGGAUGGGCCCGCGGCCUGUUAGCUUGUUGGUGGUGUAACGGCCUACCAAGGCAAUGAUGGGUAGCUGGGUUGAGAGACCGACCAGCCAGAUUGGGACUGAGACACGGCCCAGACUCCUACGGGAAGCAGCAGUAGGGAGACUUGCACAAUGGGCGCGAGCAUGAUGCAGCGACCCCGCGUGCGGGAUGAAGGCCUUCGGGUUGUAAACCGCUUUCAGCAGGGACGAGGCGAAAGUGACGGUACCUGCAGAAGAAGCACCGGCUAACUACGUG
rnacentral:rRNA from 1 species